rnacentral:rRNA from 1 species
GACGAACGCUGGCGGCGUGCUUAACACAUGCAAGUCGAACGGUGAAAGCGGAGCUUGCUCCGCUGGAUCAGUGGCGAACGGGUGAGUAACACGUGGGCAACCUGCCCCUGACUUCGGGAUAACUCCUCGAAAGAGGUGCUAAUACCGGAUACGAAUCCUGCAGGCAUCUGCGGGAUUGGAAAGUUUUUCGGUCAGGGAUGGGCCCGCGGCCUGUCAGCUUUUUGGUGAGGUAGUGGCUCACCAAGGCGACUACGGGUAGCCGGCCUGAGAGGGUGACCGGCCACACUGGGACUGAGACACGGCCCAGACUCCUACGGGAGGCAGCAGUGGGGAAUAUUGCACAAUGGGCGCAAGCCUGAUGCAGCAACGCCGCGUGAGGGAUGACGGCCUUCGGGUUGUAAACCUCUUUUAGCAGGGAAGAAGCGAAAGUGACGGUACCUGCAGAAAAAGCACCGGCUAACUACGUGCCAGCCGCCGCAGUAA